AACGCGAAGAACCUUACCUACCCUUGACAUCCAGAGAAUCCUGCAGAGAUGCGGGAGUGCCGAAAGGAGCUCUGAGACAGGUGCUGCAUGGCUGUCGUCAGCUCGUGUUGUGAGAUGUUGGGUUAAGUCCCGUAACGAGCGCAACCCUUAUCCUUAGUUGCCAACGCGUAAUGGCGGGGACUCUAAGGAGACUGCUGGUGAUGAACCGGAGGAAGGCGGGGACGACGUCAAGUCAUCAUGGCCUUUAUGGGUAGGGCUACACACGUGCUACAAUGGGGUAUACAGAGGGAAGCCAACCCGCGAGGGGGAGCCAAUCCCAGAAAGUAUCUCGUAGUCCGGAUCGGAGUCUGCAACUCGACUCCGUGAAGUCGGAAUCGCUAGUAAUCGCGAAUCAGAAUGUCGCGGUGAAUACGUUCCCGGGCCUUGUACACACCGGUAUCUC
rnacentral:rRNA from 1 species